CUUCACUCUGGCUUGCUGAUAGUUUUAUCUUGCAGCAUUAUUCUGAACGUUGCUCUCAUUUGUAUGAGAUAUAAACUGACCUGUACGCACUGUGCAGAUGAAAAGAACAGUGAUAUAUCAAAAGUGGAAUGGUCACGCAAGCAAUGCCAUGACGAGGACACACUGAAUUACGCUGCCCUGAACCUUAAGAAGCCAAAUCCCAGGAGACAGAAGAAAGACGGGAAUAAUGACACUCUGUAUUCUGACCUCCGCUACAGAGAUUAUGAAUAAAGAUGCUUCUCAUUCAUGUCAGUCACACAGAGUGUUCAGGGUGUAGCUUUAAUAAUGUUCAGAGGAGGGCAGGGGAGCCAGUGCUUCUGAGAC